rnacentral:rRNA from 1 species
CCCUUAGAUGUUCGGGGCCGCACGCGCGCUACACUGAAGGACUCAGCGUGUCUCUCCCCCUAUCCCGAAAGGGAUGGGCAACCCGUUGAACCUCCUUCGUGCUAGGGAUUGGGGUUUGCAAUUAUCCCCCAUGAACGAGGAAUUCCCAGUAAGCGCGAGUCAUCAGCUCGCGUUGAUUACGUCCCUGCCCUUUGUACACACCGCCCGUCGCUCCUACCGAUUGAAUGAUCCGAUGAAUAUCAUGGAUUGAGGAUUAUAGCAGGUUCGCCUGUCUCGAUCUUCGAGAAGUGAAGUAAAUCUUAUCAUUUAGAGGAAGGAGAAGUCGUAACA